CCCAACAAACGGCGGCGUGAGCGGCGGGAAAUCCUACGGAGACGUGGCCACCUUCACGUGUGACUCAGGUUUCAGCCUGUCUGGCUCAGCGACACUUACCUGUCAGGCGGACACCACUUGGAAUGGAGCUUCACCAACUUGUGCAGCUGGACUGUGUCCCACACUGACACCCCCUACAAACGGUGCGGUGAGCGGUUCCAACUCCCUCGGAGACGUGGCCACCUUCACGUGUAACUCAGGAUACAACCUAGUUGGCGAUUCUACACGAACAUGUCAGGCGGACUUGUCUUGGAGUGGAAGCUCACCAACAUGUACAGCUGUCCAGUGUCCCGUACUGACAGCCCCUACAAACGGCGGCGUGAGCGGCGGGAACUCCUACGGAGACGUGGCCACCUUCACGUGUGACUCAGGUUACAGCCUGUCUGGCUCUGCUACACUUACCUGUCAGGCGGACACCACUUGGGAUGGAGCUUCACCAACAU